UGGACUGAUAAGUGUACAUUCAAUUACAG
rnacentral:piRNA from 1 species